AAGCGCAGUUAGAAAAGUAUAAGGCAAGGUCGAAGUCAUAGUCAGACAUGGGUCAAUGGCGGCAGCUAGAUUCAGUAGUCAAAAACCAGGCAAGAAGUCAAAACCAAUAGGAGCAAUGGAAAACAGGCUUGAGCAGAAUCAGGGAACUGAACAACAGCUUGGGCAACACAAACUAGGGAAUCCAGGCUUUUAUUUUGAACAAUGACGUCAGUACGGACACAGUGUGCAUGCGCCCAGAAGCAUCAUAUCUAUAUUGCGCAUGAACGCGUCCUGGCAUACUGCUGAGGUCAAUCACAUCUGGACGUGCAUGCGCAAGGAAGACCAGGGACCGACGCGCUUCAAGACUGGAUUUCUACAGUGAAUCUGGUCCCCUGCAGACAGUUCAUGAUCGCCGAUCACCCAGGCACCAAAUAUGGGAAAAACAAAGGAGAACCCCAACAAUCCAGAUACAAAGACCCCCUGCAAGCAUCUUCUCAAAAUGGCGGUGCUGUCACUGCUUCAGACUUGGAGGAGGUGGAGGAGAAUCAGAACCAAGUGCAGAACAGGAAGUUAUGAGUAUACCUGGGCAAACAUUCGGACAACACACUCUACAUGCCGUGGUUUCAAAAAAGAAAGUUAAAGGUGGAGGUAAAAAGAUUGGGGUGUGACCCUGUGCCAUAAAACUAAUAAAACAAGCCUAUUUAAAGCCAAAGUCUGUUUUCGCAUCUUUUUUUAUGUAGUUGUAAUUCCUCAUUUCUCCACUAGGGCAGGAACUGAUGUGAA